UUAGGUCUUGCCAGCUGAAUCAUUCAACCAAUUUUAAACUCUUUAAAUACAAAAAAAAAAAAACCUACUGUUGCUUUUAAAAUCAAGAAAAAUUCUUUGUCAUUAUUUAAGUGUGAUUGAAAAAUGUUGUGUCUUUUAUUCACCCUCAUGUGUUUCCAGAACUGUAUGAAUAUUUGUAUUUUUUUUUCUGUGGAACACAAAACAAGAUAUCUUGAAAAACGUGUUGUUGUUGUUAUUGUUGUCAAUACAGUGGAAGUCAAUGGGAUCCAAAGUUUGAAAAUAUAUAUUUUGGUUUUCUACGAAAGAAAGAAAAAGUCAUAUAGCUUUGGAAGGACAUGAGGGUGAGUAAAUGAUGACAGAAUUUUCGUUUUUGGGUGAACUUUCCUUUUAAGGGGAAGAUAUUAUACAAAUAAUAAUAAUAAUAAUAAAUGUAUUCACUUCCAUCGUGCAGUUAUAUCACAGUCUCCGCCUCUUGCAAGGGUGUUGAUUAAAUGUAUAAUAUUCAAAUAAAAGCCAAAGCUCACCUCUGGCAUUCACACUAACAUCCAUCUAGAGAAUCGACCGACAGAGAACAAUCAACCAUCGCAAACGCGAGAGACCUGAAUAUGGCUUCUAAAACUCAAAUACUUCUACUGCUAGUGGCUGUAAUGGUUGCAAGCUAUGGCCUUAACAAUGGCACAACCAGCACCACAACCAGUGGCACAAACAGCACCACAACCAGUGGCACAACCUACAAUAACAAAUCUGCUGCAGCAUCUCUUUCACCUAAGGGGAUCGUGGGGCUGCCUGGACUUCUGAUCUACACGGUCAUCUCCAGCGUGGCUCUCAAACUCUUCCACCUGAUCUGAACAUCAGCUCUCUCAGUAUGUUAACCAGCAAAAACCUGCAGGAUGCACCUGUGACAGUGACUGCACAAGUUUCUAGCACUUCUAUGUCAGCGUUUGUCAGAUUACUGAUUUUGCUUAUAUUUGCUGCUCCGCAAACUAUCUACACACUCUUUAAAUAGAUUGGAUAGAUAUCUAAGAUUGUAUGUAGACUUCAUAAAAGAAUAAUGAUGAAUAAUGAAUUAUGAAGAAUAAAGGCAAAAACACAUUUA